rnacentral:lncRNA from 1 species
UCCGCCCCGGGCGCGCCCAGUGCCAGGCGGCCGGCUUAUCUGGCCCCAGAGCUCCCGGGGCGCGGGGGGAGAGGCCCCUCGGUGCAGGGGGUGGGGGCUCCAGAUAAACAGGCCCCCAGCCCGGCGCGGCAGGGCGGGGUGCGGGGGGCUCGGGCUGUGCCCCCGACGCCUGGGGCGUGGCGCGAUGGCAGUGGGGGCGGGGAGCGCCGUGCGCACUGGCGAUGCGGGCGUGGGGCGCGCUGCCCGCGCGGGUGGGAGGCCGGCGGCGAGCGGAGCGCGUGGGGACCCCUGCCCCGCACCCCCACUCCGCGGCCGAGCCCCUGCGCCUCGCCGGCCUCAGUUUUCCCAGCCUGCGCAAGGGACCGCAGCCUUUGCCAGCACCCGGCCGGCCGGAGCGCGCCAGGGUCCCCGCGGCGACCUGCCCUCCCGCGGUUACAUAAAGCGGCUGCCGGGACGGAGCGCGGGGAAGGGGCUGGCGGGGGCGGGAGCCGCGGGCCGAGGCUGUCUUCCCGGCUUCCCGGCUCCCCACCCGGCUGUGGGUCACUGGGCGGGACGGGCCCGGGCCGGACUGCCGGGCCCUGCGUCCUGCUGCCUCCCGGCUCCGAGGGGCGGAGGUGGGCAGCGGGGAGGCGUCGGCGCAGCUCAACUUUAUUAUUUUUUGUCGUCUGUCUUCUCCUACUUCCUCCCUGGUCGUGGGAGAGGUCCGGCGUUGCAGGAGGAGGAAGGAGAGGAGGGGACAAGUGGUGGGACGGCGUGCCGGCCGGCCGGCUGCUCGGCGCGCACAUAUUAUUGUGAACGCCACAGUCUUCUGCGGAGGCCCUAGAGCCGCGGCUGGCGGGAAAUGGACCUGGGUCUGCUCUGUGACUUCGGGGUACCCCCCCCAUACACCCCAACACGGGACUUUAUUGCUCUUUUUGCUCAGCAGAUUAAAAAGCGCCUUUCAACACCCAGACGGGUUGAAUUGGUUUUUGUAAUAAUCACUUGGCUUCCAGGGGAACCCCGGGGAGGCCCCCAGAGGGGAAGUGAUGGCCCCAGGACCUGCAGCAGCGAAACCAGCCCGGAGUAGGUGGGAAGGGAAGGAGGGAGGCGCCAUGGGUCCGAGGAGGGCGGAACCGGG